GACGUAGGGCGCGAGCGUUGUCCGGAUUUAUUGGGCGUAAAGAGCUCGUAGGCGGCUUGUCGCGUCGUCCGUGAAAACUUGGGGCUCAACCCCAAGCUUGCGGUCGAUACGGGCAGGCUCGAGUUCGGUAGGGGAGACUGGAAUUCCUGGUGUAGCGGUGAAAUGCGCAGAUAUCAGGAGGAACACCGGUGGCGAAGGCGGCAUCCUGGACCGGCAUUGACGCUGAGGAGCGAAAGCCAGGGGAGCAAACGGG
rnacentral:rRNA from 1 species